GACAAACGCUGGCGGCGUGCCUAACACAUGCAAGUCGAGCGCGAAACAGACUUCGGUCUGGAGUAAAGCGGCGAACGGGUGAGUAACACGUGGGCAACCUGCCUCAAGGACUGGGAUAACUCCGGGAAACCGGGGCUAAUACCGGGCGAUGUCGUCCCGCGCAAGCGGGCCGACCAAAUGGUAGCUUCGGCCUCCGCCUUGAGCUGGGCCCGCGUCCUAUCAGCUUGUUGGUGAGGUAACGGCUCACCAAGGCUACGACGGGUAGCUGGUCUGAGAGGAUGAUCAGCCACACUGGGACUGAGAUACGGCCCAGACUCCUACGGGAGGCAGCAGUGGGGAAUCUUGCGCAAUGGGCGAAAGCCUGACGCAGCAACGCCGCGUGAGCGAAGAAGGCCUUCGGGUUGUAAAGCUCUGUCAGGGGGAAAGAAGGCACCUGGGUUAAUAGCCCAAGGGCUGACGGUACCCCCAAAGGAAGCCACGGCUAACUACGUGCCAGCCGCCGCGGUAAUAC
rnacentral:rRNA from 1 species